rnacentral:rRNA from 1 species
CAGCAGCCACGGUAAUACAGAGGGUGCAAGCGUUAAUCGGAAUUACUGGGCGUAAAGCGCGCGUAGGUGGUUUGUUAAGUUGGAUGUGAAAGCCCCGGGCUCAACCUGGGAACUGCAUCCAAAACUGGCAAGCUAGAGUACGGUAGAGGGUGGUGGAAUUUCCUGUGUAGCGGUGAAAUGCGUAGAUAUAGGAAGGAACACCAGUGGCGAAGGCGACCACCUGGACUGAUACUGACACUGAGGUGCGAAAGCGUGGGAAGCAAACAGGAUUAGAUACCCGUGUAGUCCCUGUCUCUUAUAC